rnacentral:rRNA from 1 species
GACGAACGCUGGCGGCGUGCUUAACACAUGCAAGUCGAACGGUGACCCAGGGCUUGCCCUGGUGAUCAGUGGCGAACGGGUGAGUAACACGUGGGCAACCUGCCCCUGACUUCGGGAUAACUCCUCGAAAGAGGAGCUAAUACCGGAUACGACCACUUCGGACAUCCGAUGGUGGUGGAAAGUUUUCGGUCAGGGAUGGCCCGCGGCCUAUCAGCUAGUUGGUGGGGUAAUGGCCUACCAAGGCGACGACGGGUAGCCGGCCUGAGAGGGCGACCGGCCACACUGGGACUGAGACACGGCCCAGACUCCUACGGGAGGCAGCAGUGGGAAUAUUGCGCAAUGGGCGAAAGCCUGACGCAGCGACGCCGCGUGAGGGA